rnacentral:lncRNA from 1 species
UUUCUCUUAGUCAUACAUUUGAUGGUCAAAGAUGACUGCACAAUUCUUUUUAUAUCGGCAAGUAAUGCAUCCUGCAGUGUGCCACCUCUUUCAAACAUGAUCAACUGGAUUUCCACACCUGUUGUUCAAAUAUUCAAAACUUGUCUCCUGUUUUUACAGCUUGAGGGCCCAACAAUCUUCUAGCUUGACAUUACCAAAGAGCAACUAAAUCACCACAAAUAACUCUUUACAUUCAUGAAAAUACAAAAUAUUUUGAAGCAAGGCGUCAUCUUUGGUACUCCAUUGAUUUCGUAAGCUUUUAGUGAAUUCCUACCCCCCUCCUUUGACAAUUCUUUUCUCAAGUUCUUUAUUUUUAAAUUAUCUUUGUCUGCACAUUGAUCUGUGUUUUAUGGUAUUGUAGUAAACUUUUAUUUUAAUUUGUCAUUUGUUCCCCCCUUGAUUCUCAUAUCUACACCUAAUAUUUGAAAUUGUUAAAUUAAAUUAAAGGGUGUGGCUAAAUUUAUGAAAAUAUCUCAAGAAAACAUAUCGUACUUAUAUACUCUAGUAUUUAUUUGUUUUAAAAAAUAAAAGUAGGUAAGUAUGUUAUAUAUUCAAAAGUGGAACAACUUAGCACUAUGGCGGUGCUAAGGCAGUAAAUAAGUUAAAACCUUUUGUACGUAAACGAAAAGAAGGUUUCCUACGGUGGAAGUCCUAUCUUUGUAGAGUAACUAUGAAAUCUACUAUGUUAUUUUCGUCCUUUACAUCUUGUAUAUUACAUCAAAAUUAAAAACUUAUAGAAAAUUAUAUUUAAGUUGUUGUACAGUACUCAUCUUCCGUUCAAAACAUCACAUUUUUGCCUUCUAUAAAAUCCAACAUUUGCUGGCAUGGACUGUGAUGCAAUACUUGGCACUCUAUGUUUUUUUUUUCAAAAUUUUUUUGUACUUUAUUAGCUUUCUUUCUACUUAGUUUUGAUUUCCACCUAUCUUUUGGUUCUAUGUUCUCUAUCUUUUGAAAUACUUCCAUUAUGUCUCAGAUCUUUUUCUACUAAAUUAUAUGGAUGACUCCUGUUUUGUUUGUGGUUAAUCUUGAUUUUGUUGAAGAGAAAAGGAGAUAAACAUAGUAGAAAAAAUGUAUUAGAACUUUUCUUCUCAAGUUGACACAAAUUUGUUAUUUUGACAGAUAAAAUUUUUAUAUUUGAAGCACCAGCCUUCAUCUGAUUAGAGUGAAGUAGAAGUAUGAACAACUGAAAAUGAACGAACUAGUUGAAGCACAAAGUCUAUGAGAACAAAGUCUAGCACCAAGUGAAUAUGUUAUGGGUUGUAUCUCUACUUAAGAAGGAGAGUAGAGUACACUGUAUAUGUGAUUGAUAAGGAGACUAGAGUGCAUAAAAGACCUUGAUAUUCCUUAACCAUGUCCCUACAUGGGAUGUGUCCUAGUACUAUCCUUGGCAAGUAGAACACCCUCCAACGGAGUAGGGUAGACUUCGAAUUCCAUGCCUAGCUAGUAUGGUCUAUGUCGGUUAUUGCCUAUUCUAAUCAUGUGGGAUACAUACUAGUGUUGGAUAAGUACUAUGAAGUUUAGGUAGUGGAAUGAGACGCUAUCUAGACAUUGCAUGAUUAGGCUUUGAAGAUGUUAGUGUGCGAGUGCGCUAGGUCUUUUUUAAAACCAUUAUGUGAAUGUCCAUACGUAAUGAAUGUUUUCUAAAUGACUUUAGUAAAGAAAUUUUAUUUAAAAAGUAGUUAUCUAGAGUAUCUUUGAGGAUUGCUUAGGUAGGCUUGAAAAAGGUGUAUGAGCGGUCUCUUCAUGUCUUACUUAGGUGAGUCUUACAGUAACUAUAGGAAGGGAGUUUAACAAAUAAAGUGAUAAUGGUCUUAUCUUAGUAGUCUUAAUGAUCAUUUAGGUUUCUUAGAGAGGGUGUAUGGGAGGUCUCUCUUCGUAUCACUUAAGCGAGUCUUUGGAUAACCUUUGGUGAAAGGGUAGCAAGUUAAAAGAGGUGACUGUGAAGUUGAACUUAGUUCACUGUAAAGUGACAUAGUUCACUAUAACAUUCUCCAAUAUUUGAUAAAAUGCAUAUCUUAUAUGUUUCUAUGGUGUUUAAUGUUGUUCUUAUGCUUAUACUAUGAUAUUUUAAUAAAAAAGACCAUGUUUUAUACAAAAGUCUGUUUGUCAUGAUUUAUACAUUAUGCCAUACUUACUAAAAGUGUUUGUACUAAUUCCAUACAUUUUUUCUAUCUCUAAAGGUAUAGGUCGCGUUUGAGAAGUCUCGAAGUGGAAGCUUGGAUUAGUGAUUCAUUCAAGUAAAGAGUUGGUAUGUCGUCACUAGAUUUGAGGACGUCUUGAUGUUUAGAUUUCCUUAUUGAAAGUAUUGUAAUAGACUUAGCUAUAUUCUAUGUGAUGAAUUAUGGUCCGUGUCCUAAUUUAUUCGUAUGUCUAAGAUGACGACUUUGAGACUUAGACUUCCAUUAUGUUUUUCUAUAAAAGAGAUAUUUUAAAGUAUUAUUAUUUCAUGU